rnacentral:rRNA from 1 species
UACGUAGGGUGCGAGCGUUAAUCGGAAUUACUGGGCGUAAAGCGUGCGCAGGCGGUUUGCUAAGACCGAUGUGAAAUCCCCGGGCUCAACCUGGGAACUGCAUUGGUGACUGGCAGGCUAGAGUAUGGCAGAGGGGGGUAGAAUUCCACGUGUAGCAGUGAAAUGCGUAGAGAUGUGGAGGAAUACCGAUGGCGAAGGCAGCCCCCUGGGCCAAUACUGACGCUCAUGCACGAAGGCGUGGGGAGCAAACAGG